AGUGAACGCUGGCGGUAGGCCUAACACAUGCAAGUCGAACGGCAGCACAGGAGAGCUUGCUCUCUGGGUGGCGAGUGGCGGACGGGUGAGGAAUACAUCGGAAUCCACUCUGUCGUGGGGGAUAACGUAGGGAAACUUACGCUAAUACCGCAUACGACCUACGGGUGAAAGCAGGGGACCUUCGGGCCUUUCGCGAUUGAAUGAGCCGAUGUCGGAUUAGCUAGUUGGCGGGGUAAAGGCCCACCAAGGCGACGAUCCGUAGCUGGUCUGAGAGGAUGAUCAGCCACACUGGAACUGAGACACGGUCCAGACUCCUACGGGAGGCAGCAGUGGGGAAUAUUGGACAAUGGGCGCAAGCCUGAUCCAGCCAUACCGCGUGGGUGAAGAAGGCCUUCGGGUUGUAAAGCCCUUUUGUUGGGAAAGAAAUCCGGCUGGCUAAUACCCGGUUGGGAUGACGGUACCCAAAGAAUAAGCACCGGCUAACUUCGUGCCAGCCGCCGCGGUAA
rnacentral:rRNA from 1 species